rnacentral:lncRNA from 10 species
UGGAGUCUUGGGCUCGCUUGCAUUUCUGGCACCCAGCAAUUCCUUCCCAGGUGGUGCUUGCUCCAGGCUCUUGCUCCAGCAACUCAGUACAGUAGGGUAACAGCACCUGAGAAGCUCUUUGCUGCCCCCUACUGGCACUCAUAAACCACCGGUGAGAACCAUGAAGGUGGAUCUGUGAACGGUUGUUCGGCGGGACUCCCGUGACUUCAGACAUGGUUUCUGUGGAUUUUAUACAGAGCUCCUGUUGUGAACGCUGUGUAUCCACAGCAUUAAUGGCUCUUCAUCAUUAAAGGGUCAGCAUGCAAGGGUGUAUUUCACCAGCUGCCGGGAGGCGGGUGGCUAACAGUUCUCCACCCUUAGCCCCUUUUGGGACCGCCUCCGCUGAAGAGAGCUACCUGGCUGUGCGUCUUAUCUCCCACCUUCCAGGGCGACUCAACCCAGUGGUUGCUCAAGGAGCUGUAUAGAGCUCCGGCUCCCUCCUUUCAACUCAGGCCAAUUCUGAAGGGUGGCCUCAGCUUCAGAGCUUCCAUUAAUCGCCACUGAGGCCUUGCCGUGACUUACAGCCUGACCUGCGUCCUAUCCUCGCCCUAGGUGAUGGCCCUGAGAACUCUCGCCGGUUUCUUGUGAGGAUUAAACGGAAGAAUGUUUAUGAAGUAAGUGGAAAAUAAAGUUAAAAGAAGAGAAAAGAUUGAUUUGCAACCUCUGGGCUUUACUUCCGUCAUCUGAAGUUGGGAUCUACUCAGGUUUCCCAUCCUGAAGUCCACAUUUCACUGGGAAAUAGGGUCGUGUUCUCAGCAGCGCUUGACACUAACAGAACAAAUACCCAGUGUGGAUUUAUACGUGAGCGUCAAUUUUAUGUGUGGAUUUUGGUGAAAAAAAAAUUAAGUGAUUUAAAAAU